GGGGGAGGGNCUAUACNGCAAGUAGAACGCUGAAGACUUUAGCUUGCUAAAGUUGGAAGAGUUGCGAACGGGUGAGUAACGCGUAGGUAACCUGCCUACUAGCGGGGGAUAACUAUUGGAAACGAUAGCUAAUACCGCAUAACAGCAUUUAACUCAUGUUAGAUGCUUGAAAGGAGCAAUUGCUUCACUAGUAGAUGGACCUGCGUUGUAUUAGCUAGUUGGUGAGGUAACGGCUCACCAAGGCGACGAUACAUAGCCGACCUGAGAGGGUGAUCGGCCACACUGGGACUGAGACACGGCCCAGACUCCUACGGGAGGCAGCAGUAGGGAAUCUUCGGCAAUGGGGGCAACCCUGACCGAGCAACGCCGCGUGAGUGAAGAAGGUUUUCGGAUCGUAAAGCUCUGUUGUAAGAGAAGAACGUGUGUGAGAGUGGAAAGUUCACACAGUGACGGUAACUUACCAGAAAGGGACGGCUAACUACGUGCCAGCAGCCGCGGUAAUACGUAGGUCCCGAGCGUUGUCCGGAUUUAUUGGGCGUAAAGCGAGCGCAGGCGGUUUAAUAAGUCUGAAGUUAAAGGCAGUGGCUUAACCAUUGUUCGCUUUGGAAACUGUUAGACUUGAGUGCAGAAGGGGAGAGUGGAAUUCCAUGUGUAGCGGUGAAAUGCGUAGAUAUAUGGAGGAACACCGGUGGCGAAAGCGGCUCUCUGGUCUGUAACUGACGCUGAGGCUCGAAAGCGUGGGGAGCAAACAGG
rnacentral:rRNA from 1 species